rnacentral:tRNA from 1 species
GGCGAGAUAGCUCAGAUGGCUAGAGCACAUGGUUCAUACCCAUGGUGUCGAGGGUUCGACUCCCCCUCUCGCUAC